rnacentral:lncRNA from 1 species
GGACCAGUGAUGUAGCUCAACUAGCUGGACUAGCAGCCGGGAACUCUGGGCUUGAGCCCCAGCACCUCAGGAACCAGGGAUGGAGGCAAGAAGAUCAGAGAUUCAGGAGCAACCUGGACCUGAAACCCUGCCUCACAGAAGCACAGUUAUUUGGAAAACUGAUUGUAAUUUUUGAGGAGGAGAAAGGUAUUAAGUUGAGCUAGUGCUCUGGUGUAUUGUGACCAUGUAUCUGUCUGCUUCUUGUGUUCCAGGUCUCACCAAUGGCUUUGGGGGUACUAGAAGCGAGCAGGAGCCAGGCAGCGGCCCAGGGAGGAAAGCUGCGCCCCGACGGCGCUGUGCAUCUGAGUCCAGCAUUUGUUCCAGCAACAGCCCACUGUGUGACUCAAGCUUUAGUACACCCAAGUGUGGCC